AUUGAACGCUGGCGGCAGGCCUAACACAUGCAAGUCGAACGGUAACAGGAAGCAGCUUGCUGCUUCGCUGACGAGUGGCGGACGGGUGAGUAAUGUCUGGGAAGCUGCCUGAUGGAGGGGGAUAACUACUGGAAACGGUAGCUAAUACCGCAUAAUGUCGCAAGACCAAAGAGGGGGACCUUCGGGCCUCUUGCCAUCGGAUGUGCCCAGAUGGGAUUAGCUUGUUGGUGGGGUAACGGCUCACCAAGGCGACGAUCCCUAGCUGGUCUGAGAGGAUGACCAGCCACACUGGAACUGAGACACGGUCCAGACUCCUACGGGAGGCAGCAGUGGGGAAUAUUGCACAAUGGGCGCAAGCCUGAUGCAGCCAUGCCGCGUGUAUGAAGAAGGCCUUCGGGUUGUAAAGUACUUUCAGCGGGGAGGAAGGGAGUAAAGUUAAGACCUUUGCUCAUUGACGUUACCCGCAGAAGAAGCACCGGCUAACUCCGU
rnacentral:rRNA from 1 species